rnacentral:pre_miRNA from 1 species
CGCCAUGGCAGCGCUGCUGUAUUUCAGGCGGUAUACUGGUAACAGCUUAUAUGCAGAGUUUACCAGUUACUUCUUGGAAUAUAGGGACGCUUGUCUUAACG